AAAAUAUUCCCCCAGAAUCAUUAGAAAUAAUAAAUUUAUUUGACAAUGGUGACUUUUGCAUUUUUAUAAUAAACAAAGCAAACAUGUGUUCUAAGAUGUUGUAGAUGGGAAAGGGGAGUUAGCUAAUCAGAAUUUCUCUUUCCUUGAGGAUGAAUUCAGGUUACUGUUCUAAAUGGUUUUUCUUUGCCUUCCCUGGUACUUGUGCACUUAUUGUCCCCUAUGAACACAAACACACACAUCAUUGAAAAUGUCAUGAAUUACUUGGGCAAUUAUUAAUAUUUGACAAAUUCAUUGGAAUGUGAAUUUCACAAUUUCCCCCAUCUCCUUACUGCCAAAAAAACACAGAAGGAGAAAGAGUAAAUAACAUUUCUCUAGCAACUAAACUCAGUGUACUGUCACUGCUUAAACCAACUUAUUUAGAGGCAUCAGAACUAGUUAUGAUUAAAGACCUAUCAAGACCACAUCAUUUGUAAGGAUUAAUGGUGAGCAAAUCUUUAGGUUAAAAAGCUCUAUUGUAACCUACGUCUAGUGUUCUAUCAUGUAUUGAUGGUUAUGAAGAAAAGUAGCAUCUAUUUUCUAAUAAGUUUAAAUGUGUCAAUCAAUAGAAGAAAAUUUAUCUUAUUCUCCAAAUGUCUGUCUUCUUUAUACUUUUCAAAUUUUAUUCACCCUAGAUCCACCCAUCCAUGUGAGAACAUACACUAAUUCUAAUACAGUCAAAAUUAAUCCAUGGAAAUGCAAGAGCCAAAUUCUUACCAUCAAAAUUCUACAUUUUUCUGUCUGGAUCUAAGAAAAGCCUGAACUUUGACUUUACUAGUGAGAUGAUCUUUAUACAUCAAAUUUAUAAAAUACUUAUUUAUUUAAAGUAUUAACACUUAAGAGGAUCUGUGUAAACAACUUGUUUCUGCUUGUUUGUAUAUGUAUAGAGUAUUCCUGCAAAAAAAAGAGACAACCAUGGGCGACCUAAGAGUCAUGUGGGGAUGAAGAACUAUCCCUGGAGCAGAAUUAUCACUUCUCAUAGUUGGUAAAUGCUGACAAAGAUGCCGACAAAAAAUGGUUUUGGGAAAAUAUCCAUGGAGUAAAUGAAAGCAUGAAACAACUUGUACGGUGGUGUCAGUUGCUGAGUCAACACAGCCAGCUUAAAAAUAAAAUAGAACAACAAAAUAAAAUGGAGCAGAAUGAAACAAAACAAAACCCAAACAAAAUAGGAGAUUUUAUCUCUACACAACUAAGGGUGGUCAUGAGAAUAAGAUCUAGCCAAAGUGACAUGAGCAGAAGUUAUGUAGGGCUGCAGAACUCCUUUACAAGGAAAAGAGGAAGCUUGACCAUACCCUUCUGCCUUUCCCAUCACGCUCCUUCCUGCUGCCUGGAAUAAUGACAUGAGGACAGAAAUUCUAGCAGCCACUUUACCCAUGCGGUGAGUCUGAGGAUGGAAGCCACACACUGACGAUGAUGGAGGAGAAAAAGGAAAAGGAAGGUUUUCUAGUGACUCCAUGGUUCCAAUGAUCACACAUGACUGCCUAAUUGUGGACUUCAUUUAUUCGAGGGGAUGGAUUUUGUUGCGUUUAAUCACUACUAUUUUUGGAUUUUCUGUUGUAUGCAGAUGAAUUUAGUACUGAUUAACAUAGAUGUAUACAGACUCAGUGCAUGUGGAAAAUAAAAUUUCUUGU